AUUGAACGCUGGCGGCAUGCCUUACACAUGCAAGUCGAACGGCAGCACGGGGCAACCUGGUGGCGAGUGGCGAACGGGUGAGUAAUGCAUCGGAACGUACCUUCCAGUGGGGGAUAACGUAGCGAAAGUUACGCUAAUACCGCAUAUUCAGUGAGCAGGAAAGCAGGGGAUCGCAAGACCUUGCGCUGAUUGAGCGGCCGAUGUCAGAUUAGCUAGUUGGUGAGGUAAAGGCUCACCAAGGCGACGAUCUGUAGCGGGUCUGAGAGGAUGAUCCGCCACACUGGAACUGAGACACGGUCCAGACUCCUACGGGAGGCAGCAGUGGGGAAUUUUGGACAAUGGGGGCAACCCUGAUCCAGCCAUGCCGCGUGAGUGAAGAAGGCCUUCGGGUUGUAAAGCUCUUUCGGCCGGGAAGAAAUCGCACGGGCUAAUACCCUGUGUGGAUGACGGUACCGGAAUAAGAAGCACCGGCUAACUACGUGCCAGCCGCCGCCGUAAAAC
rnacentral:rRNA from 1 species